rnacentral:rRNA from 1 species
UACGGAGGAUGCAAGCGUUAUCCGGAAUGAUUGGGCGUAAAGCGUCCGCAGGUGGCAAUGUAAGUCUGAUGUCAAAGCGUCUGGCUCAACCAGAUAAAGGCAGUGGAAACUACAUAGCUAGAGUAAGGUAGGGGUAGAGGGAAUUCCUGGUGUAGCGGUGAAAUGCGUAGAGAUCAGGAAGAACACCGGUGGCGAAAGCGCUCUGCUGGACCUUAACUGACACUGAGGGACGAAAGCUAGGGGAGCGAAUGGG